rnacentral:rRNA from 1 species
CCUACGGGAGGCUGCAGUGGGGGAUAUUGCACAAUGGGGGAAACCCUGAUGCAGCGACGCCGCGUGAGUGAAGAAGUAUUUCGGUAUGUAAAGCUCUAUCAGCAGGGAAGAAAAUGACAGUACCUGACCAAGAAGCCCCGGAUAACUACGUGCCAGCAGCCGUGGUAAUACGUAGGGGGCAAGCGUUAUCCGGAUUUACUGGGGGUAAAGGGAGCGUAGACGGCUGUGCUAGUCUGUAGUGAAAGGCCGUGGCUCAACCGCGGAACUGCUUUGGAAACUGUAUAGCUUGAGUACUGGAGAGGCAGGCGGAAUUCCUAGUGUAGCGGUGAAAUGCGUAGAUAUUAGGAAGAACACCAGUGGCGAAGGCGGCCUGCUGGACAGGAACUGACGUUGAGGCUCGAAAGCGUGGGGAGCGAACAGGAUUAGAUACCCUUGUAGUC